rnacentral:lncRNA from 1 species
GCUUGUUGGCAUAGAGACUUCAAAGCCAAAGGCAAACCAGCUUCCUCAAGUGUGCAUGUUUCCUCCUUUGGGUCUGUUAGCUGGGGUUCAUAGUGGCAUGGAAGCAGGUGUUGCUGAAGGGAUCUCUUCAAGGAAAGGCUCGUGUCUCUGCCAGCUGAGACCUUAGACACAGCUUAUCUGACUUGGGAAAAGUCACGCUCCCUCCCACAACCUCUGAUAUUUUGUGGGGAGAAGGUAUGAGGCAGGAAGGGAAUCUUGGACUGGACUUAGGAUUCCAUAAGCUCCGUUAGACUCUGGGAACAGGUGGUGGUGUGACCAGGAGACACUUCAUUUUGCAUCAGUGUGCUGGCUAGUUUUAGCUCAACUUGACCCAAGCUAGAGUCAUUAGAGAGGAAGGAGCCUCAGUCGAGAAAAUGCCUCCAUAAGAUCAGGCUGUUGGCAAACCUGUGGGCCAUUUUCUUAAUUAGUGAUUGAUGAGGGAUGGCUCAGCCCAUUGUGGGUGGUUCCACCCCUAGGCUGGUGGUCCUGAGUUCUAUAAGAAAGCAGACUAAGCAAGUCAUGAGGAGCAAGCUAGUAAGAUGCUCGCUUCCCAUGGUUUCUGCAUCAUUUCCUGCUUCCAGGUUCCUGCCCUGUUGGAGUUCCUGUCUGGACUUCUUUCAAUGCAGAAGUGUGUCAGAUCUCUUGGAACUGGAGUUGCAGACAGUUGUGUGUGGAGAGCUGCGAUGUGCCGAGCCAGAAGAUGGCGCCGGUUUCUACCUUCCACCAUCCCGAGGAUUAGGAUGGAGAAUUCUCAGCUCCUUCUCCAGCACCAUGUCUGCCUGUGUGCUGCUGGGCUCCCACCAUGAUGACUGACUGACCUCUGAAACUUAGAGAGAAGAAGGAGUAAAUGAAGCCAAUACCAAAGGCACAACCUCAAGAGAUAUGAGGAUUCAUGGCUGUCCUACUCCAGAAUGCUACAGGAAGAAAGGGUAUGAACACCAGGACGCCAGGGCACUGGGGACUAUCUUGGAGGCUGGCUGCCAGCUGAGGCCUCCAACCCCGGUGUGUGUAGUCUGCCAGUCCCUCCCUGUUUCUUCAGGGCUAUGCCAAAUAAACUCAAUUUCCAUAUACUUUGCACUGUUUUCUGAAUCUGCCCAAUGCUGCACUACCGAGUGAGCCAUCUGGAGCUUGGGUGGAGUUUGAUCCUCCAGUUCAGUUCUUACACUUUAGAACACUGUUUGGGAUCAUGUGCCUCUCAAGACUGAGCCCUGGAUUUCCUUACAGGUACAUGGGUAAUUUUUUCUUAACUACCCCCCUGUCCUCAAACUCUCCAGUCCUCUGCUCUUUCUGGUCCUUUGAUGGAAAGGAACCAGGAGCUUUGUUGUGCUGACUUGACCAUAAACUUCCUACAGCUGAGUGGCUUCCACACCUAAGUCACACACAAGGUUUCCCCUAUAUGAGUCAGCUCACAGUUCCUCUGGUCCAGGAAAAGGAUCUCCUAAGAGUUUUGGGUGUCUACAUAUCAGCACUUUGGUGACUGUCUGGCUACUCCUAGGUUGCGCUAGAGCCUGGCACGUGGCUGGCUGUGAAUCUUGACUAAGAAAGAAAGGAGGUAAAGUGAGGAAGAUAAAGAACAUUCCUUACUUUAGUACCUCUGUCUUAUACAGGGCCCCAUUUUCAUGCCUUGAGUCAGAGGUGGAGGACUUGUCUUGGGCUCUUGUGUCUGUUCUGAGUUCACAGCUCUUAGAUUUGGAAUGAUUUCAGUACAGUCUAGGGACAAGAAAGGAAAACGUACAGUCUCAUGAAAUAUAUCGGAUGGUUUAUGAUCGUCUUUCAUUGCUGGGACCUUCUGUCUUCAGCUGUGAUUUUGGUUAUAUUCAGUAUUGGGUUACCAGAUAAAAUACAAGUCACCCUGUAUCAUAUUUCUUAAAUAUGCUCAGAACACACACUAAAAAAUUCAUUGUUGAAGGGGAGAGGAAAAUCUACUAAAACAUACUGUGUUUGAAAAUUCCUUAAUGAUAUUCAAUACUUUGUAUGUCAAUUUAAAAAAUAAAAUUUAUUAAAAAACUGUUUAUCUGCAAAAGAAAUUUUGCUAGGCAUGCUGCCCAUUGGCUGUAUAAACCUGGCAACUCCAGUCAGUAGGAAAGGAUAGGCCAUGCUCAUUCCCUUUUCCAAAACAGAAACUUCACCUCAUCAUCUCAACAGCUGCCUCCUCCAUCCUUCUAUGGAAGAACAGAAUUCAUUUAGCCACUCCACUGUUGAUAAUGAAAGCAGCUUCCAGUUUUUUUUUUUUUUUUUUUUUUUUACCCCUCCUUUGAAUAAUGCCACGGUGACAUUCAUUUACAUUUAUCUUUGCACACUUUUAAUCUCAGUUGCUUUAUGCCAAAUGAGAAAGUGCAACUGCCUAUCUCAAAGGGCUGUUGUGAGAAUCAAAUGAUACACCGAGUGUGAAUAUGCUUAGGAAGCUGUUAAAUGACAGAAAGGAUCUCUCAGCACUUGCCUUUUGCUUGCAUUGGACUUGGAUGCACGCGGGCGGGCUUAGCUUCCUUCACUGCUAUGGUUUGAGGGGUAAAUGUCCCCAUGGACUCAGUGUUGAAUACUUGGCUCCUGGCCGAUGGUGCUAUUCUUGGAGGUAGGAGCUGAUUGGAGGAAAUCGAUCACCUGGGGGGAGGCGUGCCUUUGAAGGUCGUACCAGGACUCCACUCCUCUCCUAGUUAUGUUUCUUGUCUGCCAUGAAGUGAACAGAUUCAGGAUCACCCACUGACAACAUGAUCAGCCUGACAUGGACCCCAAUCAAUGGACCCAAGGUCUGCAGACCGAGACCUCCGAAACACUGAGCUAAAGUAAAUAGCUCCGAGUGAGCUUAGGUCAGAUGUUCUGCUCUAAAUGAUGUCAAACCUAGUAGAUUAAAAACCACACAAACCCUUGAGGGGUAGAGCUUCUGAUACUUGUCCUUGUAAUCUACCCUACCAAGUUCUGUCAUAGAGCUUUAAAAAUUUGACUCUAAAUAAUUAAAAGAUGAAUACAGAAUUAAAUGUGGUUUUUUUAAUAUUUAUUUUUUUAAACUAAUGAUGUAUAAAUUAUGACUUUCUUUAAAUAAUGGUGUUUGCAUGUAUGUGUGUGCUGGGGUGGGUACUUAUAGAGGUCAGAGACAUUG